rnacentral:rRNA from 1 species
GCAGCCGCGGUAAUACGGAGGGUGCAAGCGUUAAUCGGAAUAACUGGGCGUAAAGGGCAUGCAGGCGGUUUAUCAAGUAGGAUGUGAAAGCCCCGGGCUCAACCUGGGAAUUGCAUUCUAAACUGAUAGACUAGAGUAUUGCAGGGGGAGACGGAAUUCCAGGUGUAGCGGUGGAAUGCGUAGAUAUCUGGAAGAACACCAAAGGCGAAGGCAGUCUCCUGGGCAAAUACUGACGCUCAUAUGCGAAAGCGUGGGUAGCAAACAGGAUUAGAUACCCC